CUGAUCCAGCCAUCCCGCGUGUAUGAUGAAGGCCUUCGGGUUGUAAAGUACUUUUGGCAGAGAAGAAAAGGUACCUCCUAAUACGAGGUACUGCUGACGGUAUCUGCAGAAUAAGCACCGGCUAACUACGUGCCAGCAGCCGCGGUAAUACGUAGGGUGCAAGCGUUAAUCGGAAUUACUGGGCGUAAAGCGUGUGUAGGCGGUUCGGAAAGAAAGAUGUGAAAUCCCAGGGCUCAACCUUGGAACUGCAUUUUUAACUGCCGAGCUAGAGUAUGUCAGAGGGGGGUAGAAUUCCACGUGUAGCAGUGAAAUGCGUAGAUAUGUGGAGGAAUACCGAUGGCGAAGGCAGCCCCCUGGGAUAAUACUGACGCUCAGACACGAAAGCGUGGGGAGCAAACAGGAUUAGAUACCCUGGUAGUCCACGCCCUAAACGAUGUCAACUAGCUGUUGGGGCCGUUAGGCCUUAGUAGCGCAGCUAACGCGUGAAGUUGACCGCCUGGGGAGUACGGUCGCAAGAUUAAAACUCAAAGGAAUUGACGGA
rnacentral:rRNA from 1 species